CCUACGGGCGGCAGCAGUAGGGAAUAUUGCUCAAUGGGGGAAACCCUGAAGCAGCAACGCCGCGUGGAGGAUGAAGGUUUUAGGAUUGUAAACUCCUUUUGUUAGAGAAGAUUAUGACGGUAUCUAACGAAUAAGCACCGGCUAACUCCGUGCCAGCAGCCGCGGCAAUACGGAGGGUGCAAGCGUUACUCGGAAUCACUGGGCGUAAAGGGUGCGUAGGCGGGGUAAUAAGUCAGGUGUGAAAUCCUGUAGGUUAACUACAGAAGUGCAGUUGAAACUGUUACUCUGGAGUGUGGGAGAAGUAGGUGGAAUGCUUGGUGUAGGGGUAAAAUCCGUAGAGAUCAAGAGGAAUACUCAUUGCGAAGGCGACCUGCUGGAACAUUACUGACGCUGAUGCACGAAAGCGUGGGGAGCAAACAGGAUUAGAUACCCGAGUAGUC
rnacentral:rRNA from 1 species